rnacentral:rRNA from 1 species
AUGGUGCAGUGCUGUUUCACCAGGGGGGCCCCCACCCUUGUGCUCAAGCUCGACUUUGCCAAAGCUUUCGACAGCAUCAACUGGGCGAGUCUGCAUGUGGUCUUGCUGGCGCGCGGGUUCCUCGAGCUCUGGUGUGACUGGAUGGACGCCAUCUUCCACUCCUCGCGCUCCGCCGUUCUUCUCAAUGGCGUCCCGGGGAAGUGGUUCCCCCCUCCGCUGUGGGCUGCAUAA